rnacentral:rRNA from 1 species
GACGAAGGAUGCAAGCGUUAUCCGGAUUCAUUGGGUUUAAAGGGAGCGUAGGUGGCCUUAUAAGUCAGUGGUGAAAUCUUCGAGCUUAACUCGGAAAUUGCCAUUGAUACUGUAGGGCUUGAGUAUAGUUGCCGUUGGCGGAAUAUGACAUGUAGUGGUGAAAUACAUAGAGAUGUCAUAGAACACCGAUUGCGAAGGCAGCUGACGAAACUGUAACUGACGCUGAGGCUCGAAAGCGUGGGGAUCAAACAGG